rnacentral:tRNA from 1 species
GCCUGGGUGGCUCAGUCAGUUAAGCGUCUGACUUCAGCUCAGGUCAUGAUCUCACAGUUCGUGAGUUCAAGCCCCGCAUCAGGCU